rnacentral:rRNA from 1 species
GACGAACGCUGGCGGCGUGCCUAAUACAUGCAAGUAGGACGCAGUUGCGAACGGGUGAGUAACGCGUAGGUAACUACCUAUUAGAGGGGGAUAACUAUUGGAAACGAUAGCUAAUACCGCAUACUAGUAGAUGGACCUGCGUUGUAUUAGCUAGUAGGUAAGGUAAUGGCCUACCUAGGCAACGAUACAUAGCCGACCUGAGAAGGUGAGCGGACACACGGGGAAUGAGACACGGGCCAGACGCCGACGGGAGGCAGCAGUAGGGAAUCUGUGGAAAUGGGGGGAACGCUGAACGAGCAACGACGCGGGAGUGAAGAAGGGUUUCGGAUCGUAAAGGUCGGGUGUUAAGGAAGCGGUACUUAACCAGAAAGGGACGGCUAACUACGUGCCAGCAGCCGCGGUAAUAC